rnacentral:lncRNA from 1 species
CAUUGCAACAUGCGUUUGGAAAGAAGGAGAGUUCACUCAUUGAGGUUUCCAAACAGGACAGCCAGCAUUCAUCGUAAAUCCAUGAACAGUGCAAAUCUUCUCAAUUUCCUCUCUUGGAAGACAAAUCUUCGCAGCUCUGUUUCCUUUCAGAACAUUACAAGCAUAACCGAAACCUGCAUGAGUGAAUGGCAAAGUUCACUGACUUGAUGAGGGACUGGAGCACAGGAAUUAUCAUUGCUAUGACUUCAGUCAAACUUCUAAUUAACACACAGAAUUCGUGGUUCACAUCUUUAUGACCUCAUUCAUGGCACCACAAGCAAACAUGAUUAUCUUCAUGACAGAGGGUUGCCAAAUAUUCAAACAAUUAGGUGCAUUAUAAGAGACUGCAAAAUAAUCCAAGAUAAUCAAGACAAGUUAUCUUGCAAAACCAUUCACGGAUUUACGGCAGACAGCUACAUCAUGCCCAUAAUAAAGCUUUGAUCGUUACGUUUCCAAAUAAUCAAAGAAAGUUGGAAAGACCAGCAGACCGCAUCUUCUUAC